rnacentral:tRNA from 1 species
CGCCGAUCAGGUUGGCGUAUUCGUUGGACUUGAAGUCCGACAGGCGCACGAUCACCGGGUUCGGUGCAACCGAGGCGGUGA